UACCAAGGCUUGACAUGGAUUUCUAAGCACGUGAAAGCGUGUGACCCUUCGGGGAACUUCCACAGGUGCUGCAUGGCCGUCGUCAGCUCGUGUCGUGAGAUGUUGGGUUAAGUCCCGCAACGAGCGCAACCCUUGUGACUAGUUGCCAGCACGUAAUGGUGGGAACUCUAGUCAGACUGCCCAGAUCAACUGGGAGGAAGGUGGGGACGACGUCAGGUCAGUAUGGCCCUUACGCCUUGGGCUGCACACGUACUACAAUGCCCAGCACAAUGAGAACCGAUGCCGCGAGGUGGAGGAAAUCUGCAAAACUGGGCUCAGUUCGGAUUGGAGGCUGCAACUCGCCUCCAUGAAGUUGGAAUCGCUAGUAAUGGGGCAUCAUCUACGGCCCCGUGAAUACGUUCCCGGGUCUUGUACACACGC
rnacentral:rRNA from 1 species